CUUAUGGCCAGGGCUGCACGCAUGCUACAAUGGCCGAUACAACGGGCAGCGAUCCAGCGAUGGUGAGCGAAUCCCUUAAAGUCGGCCUCAGUUCGGAUUGGAGUCUGCAACUCGACUCCAUGAAGUCGGAGUCGCUAGUAAUCGUGGAUCAGCAAAGCCGCGGUGAAUGCGUUCUCGGGGAUUGUACACACCGCCCGUCACGUCACGAAAGUCGGCAACACUCGAAGUCAGUGGUCCAACCUUAUGGGAGGAAGCUGCCGAAGGUGGGGUCGGCGAUUGGGACGAAGUCGUAACAAGGUAGCCGUACGGGAACGUGCGGCUGGAUCACCUCCUUU
rnacentral:rRNA from 1 species